rnacentral:rRNA from 1 species
UACGGGGGGAGCAAGCGUUGUUCGGAUUUACUGGGCGUAAAGGGCGCGUAGGCGGCCACUGCAAGUCGGUUGUGAAAUCUCCGGGCUUAACCCGGAAAGGUCAAUCGAUACUGCAGGGCUAGAGUGCAGAAGGGGCAACUGGAAUUCUCGGUGUAGCGGUGAAAUGCGUAGAUAUCGAGAGGAACACCUGCGGCGAAGGCGGCCCCCUGGUUGGAUACUGACGCUGAUACGCGAAAGCGUGGGGAGCAAACAGG